UACGAAGGAUGCAAGCGUUGUCCGGAUUUAUUGGGUUUAAAGGGUGCGUAGGCGGCUCUGUAAGUCAGCGUUGAAAUAUGGCAGCUUAACUGUCAGACUGGCAUUGAUACUGCAGGGCUUGAGUGAAGUCGAGGUUGGCGGAAUUGACGGUGUAGCGGUGAAAUGCAUAGAUAUCGUCAAGAACACCUAUUGCGAAGGCAGCUAACUAGACUUUAACUGACGCUGAGGCACGAAAGCGUGGGGAUCAAACAGG
rnacentral:rRNA from 1 species